AUUGAACGCUGGCGGCAGGCUUAACACAUGCAAGUCGAGCGGAGAUGAGGUGCUUGCACCUUAUCUUAGCGGCGGACGGGUGAGUAAUGCUUAGGAAUCUGCCUAUUAGUGGGGGACAACAUUCCGAAAGGAAUGCUAAUACCGCAUACGCCCUACGGGGGAAAGCAGGGGAUCUUCGGACCUUGCGCUAAUAGAUGAGCCUAAGUCGGAUUAGCUAGUUGGUGGGGUAAAGGCCUACCAAGGCGACGAUCUGUAGCGGGUCUGAGAGGAUGAUCCGCCACACUGGGACUGAAACACGGCCCAGACUCCUACGGGAGGCAGCAGUGGGGAAUAUUGGACAAUGGGCGGAAGACUGAUCCAGCCAUGCCGCGUGUGUGAAGAAGGCCUUUUGGUUGUAAAGCACUUUAAGCGAGGAGGAGGCUACCUGGAUUAAUACUCUAGGAUAGUGGACGUUACUCGCAGAAUAGGCACCGGCUAACUCUGUGCCAGCCGCCGCCGUAAGAC
rnacentral:rRNA from 1 species